GAUGAACGCUGGCGGCGUGCCUAAUACAUGCAAGUCGAGCGAACGGACGAGAAGCUUGCUUCUCUGAUGUUAGCGGCGGACGGGUGAGUAACACGUGGAUAACCUACCUAUAAGACUGGGAUAACUUCGGGAAACCGUAGCUAAUACCGGAUAAUAUUUUGAACCGCAUGGUUCAAAAGUGAAAGACGGUCUUGCUGUCACUUAUAGAUGGAUCCGCGCUGCAUUAGCUAGUUGGUAAGGUAACGGCUUACCAAGGCAACGAUGCAUAGCCGACCUGAGAGGGUGAUCGGCCACACUGGAACUGAGACACGGUCCAGACUCCUACGGGAGGCAGCAGUAGGGAAUCUUCCGCAAUGGGCGAAAGCCUGACGGAGCAACGCCGCGUGAGUGAUGAAGGUCUUCGGAUCGUAAAACUCUGUUAUUAGGGAUGAACAUAUGUGUAAGUAACUGUGCACAUCUUGACGGUACCUAAUCAGAAAGCCACGGCUAACUACGUG
rnacentral:rRNA from 1 species